GAUGAACGCUGGCGGCGUGCUUAACACAUGCAAGUCGAACGGAGUGGCGAACGGGUGAGUAAUGCGUGACCGACCUGCCCCAUACACCGGAAUAGCUCCUGGAAACGGGUGGUAAUGCCGGAUGGUAUGGGAUGGGGUCGCGUCCUAUCAGCUUGAUGGCGGGGUAACGGCCCACCAUGGCUUCGACGGGUAGCCGGCCUGAGAGGGCGACCGGCCACAUUGGGACUGAGAUACGGCCCAGACUCCUACGGGAGGCAGCAGUGGGGAAUAUUGCACAAUGGGCGCAAGCCUGAUGCAGCGACGCCGCGUGCGGGAUGAAGGCCUUCGGGUUGUAAACCGCUUUUGAUCGGGAGCAGGUACCCUUCGAAUAAGCACCGGCUAACUACGUGCCAGCAGCCGCGGUAAUAC
rnacentral:rRNA from 1 species